rnacentral:rRNA from 1 species
UACGUAGGUGGCAAGCGUUGUCCGGAAUUAUUGGGCGUAAAGCGCGCGCAGGCGGUCCUUUAAGUCUGAUGUGAAAGCCCACGGCUCAACCGUGGAGGGUCAUUGGAAACUGGGGGGCUUGAGUACAGAAGAGAAGAGUGGAAUUCCACGUGUAGCGGUGAAAUGCGUAGAGAUGUGGAGGAACACCAGUGGCGAAGGCGACUCUUUGGCCUGUAACUGACGCUGAGGCGCGAAAGCGUGGGGAGCAAACAGG